GACGAACGCUGGCGGCGUGCCUAAUACAUGCAAGUCGAACGAGAGCAACCGGUGCUUGCACUGGUCAAUCUAGUGGCGAACGGGUGAGUAACACGUGGGUAACCUGCCCAUCAGAGGGGGAUAACAUCCGGAAACGGAUGCUAAAACCGCAUAGGUCUUCGAACCGCAUGGUUUGAAGAGGAAAAGAGGCGCAAGCUUCUGCUGAUGGAUGGACCCGCGGUGCAUUAGCUAGUUGGUGAGGUAACGGCUCACCAAGGCCGUGAUGCAUAGCCGACCUGAGAGGGUGAUCGGCCACAUUGGGACUGAGACACGGCCCAAACUCCUACGGGAGGCAGCAGUGGGGAAUCUUCCGCAAUGGACGCAAGUCUGACGGAGCAACGCCGCGUGAGUGAAGAAGGUUUUCGGAUCGUAAAACUCUGUUGUUAGAGAAGAACAAGUGCUAGAGUAACUGUUAGCGCCUUGACGGUAUCUAACCAGAAAGCCACGGCUAACUACGUG
rnacentral:rRNA from 1 species